UGGUUAGUAGAAUAGUUUGAAUGACUAGCCAAAGAACGUGAAAGCCGUGUAUAUGAAAACGACGCUGACCUUAUGUAUGUUUUAUCGAGUAGGACGGGGCACGAGAAACCCUGUUUGAAUCUGGCUGGACCNNNNNNNNNNCCAGCCAAGGCUAAAUAUAAUAUACGAUCGAUAGUGAACUAGUACAGUGAUGGAAAGGUGAAAAGAACCCCGGGAGGGGAGUGAAAUAGAUCCUGAAAUUUAGUGCCUACAAGGAGUCGGAGCCGGCUUGUCCGGUGACGGCGUGCUUUUUGUAGAACGAUCCAGCGAGUUAAUUUUUACAGCGAGGUUAAGUCAAUUGACGGAGCCACAGUGAAAGCGAGCCUGAAUAGGGCGAUUAAGUUGUAAGGAUUAGACCCGAAACCGGGUGACCUAACCAUGAGCAGGUUGAAGCCACUGUAACAGGUGGUGGAGGACCGAACCAGGAUAC
rnacentral:rRNA from 1 species